GACGAACACUGGCGGCGUGCCUAAUACAUGCAAGUAGAACGCUGAAGGAGGAGCUUGCUUCUCUGGAUGAGUUGCGAACGGGUGAGUAACGCGUAGGUAACCUGCCUGGUAGCGGGGGAUAACUCUUGGAAACGAUAGCUAAUACCGCAUAAUAGUAGAUGUUGCAUGACAUUUGCUUAAAAGGUGCAAUUGCAUCACUACCAGAUGGACCUGCGUUGUAUUAGCUAGUUGGUGGGGUAACGGCUCACCAAGGCGACGAUACAUAGCCGACCUGAGAGGGGGAUCGGCCACACUGGGACUGAGACACGGCCCAGACUCCUACGGGAGGCAGCAGUAGGGAAUCUUCGGCAAUGGACGGAAGUCUGACCGAGCAACGCCGCGUGAGUGAAGAAGGUUUUCGGAUCGUAAAGCUCUGUUGUAAGAGAAGAACGAGUGUGAGAGUGGAAAGUUCACACUGUGACGGUAUCUUACCAGAAAGGGACGGCUAACUACGUG
rnacentral:rRNA from 1 species